CCCCGAAAACAUCAGCGAUGUAAUCGCGUUUUACCUGAUGGCACGGUAUAUCUCCGUUGUACUUCACUAAUCAAUAGGAAAUGGGAAUCUGCAAUUGAAGGCUAACGUUACUUUUUCGAGAGUUGGGAUGAUGCAGGACCGCUCAAGUCAGGCAUUCGCGUAAUAUGAUGCACGCACACACUGGACAAUGGUGUGCAAUGCCUUUUGCGUGCGUCCGUUAAGAAGCGCUUCAGACUGGCCAUCAUUGUGAAGUG